rnacentral:lncRNA from 1 species
GGUCUGUUAAGUUCCUGCUCGCAAACAUCUUUUGAUAACUCGACCACAUUACAUCGCCUGAGCAAAUACUAUCAUGCAGACCCGACAAUCCUCUUCUAGCUGGGACUCCCAUCAAAGCAUGGCCUGGGAAAGCUGAGAGAGCACAAGGACAAUGUUUGGGUGGGGAACAACCGCUAGCCAGUCUAAGUACAUAGAAAUUGCUUUCCUGGCUGUUGCAGGGGUCAC